UGUUUUGCUGGAGAUCUCCGCGGGAGCCCUCGCCUGCCGCUCUGCCCUCGCACAGCUUCAAGCUCUCUUCGCCGACACAAAAUGUCCAGCCCGUUGCCCGUCCUCUCUCAGAAGGAGCUGGAGAGCAUUUCCCUGGCCAGGACAGGAUCUGGCUUUGCUCUUAAAGCGUUCCACGUGCCCAGAAAUGCAGAUGUCUCCUUGAAGCUGUUGACUAGCCAGAAUACAGCAGAGAGAGACUUGAAGGUGCUGUUUGAAGAGGUGGCCAACACCCGAUGCCUCCAGUGCGAGAGACUCUUGCCUCCUCUGGGAAUCUGCCCGUUCCAAGGUCUCCUUGGCGUCGUCACGGAGUGGAUGCACAGCGGAUCUCUCCAUUCACUCAUCCACGAGCACGAACUCUACCCAGAACUGCCUUUCCCUCUGUGUGUGAGAAUCCUGUCGGACGUGGCGGAGGGCUUAAGCUACCUGCACAGUUUGGAGUCACCCAUCUUACACUACAGCCUGAAACCUUCCAACGUCCUGCUAACUCUUGAGUACAGAGCGAAGAUAUCAGAUUAUGGCCUAAGGACUUGGAGGACACGUCAGCUCGCAUCCGUCCUGCAUAACUGCAACACCAGAAAUUGCUGGGACUUGCUUUGCCUCUCCCCCGAAACACUGCAAGGGGGGGUCUUUUCGCGAGAAGGCGAUGUGUACAGCUUUGGAAUGUUGUGCUGGGAAAGCCUCAGCAGACAGAAGCCGCUGAAAGGAAAGAAGACUUUGUUGGAAGCCGUGACGGGAGUCUGCUGUGGCCUGCGGCCUGGGACGGGGCCGGAGGUCAUUCCGGAGAGCCUGCCGCAUCGCAGCCAGCUCCUGCGGCUCAUCUACCUGUGCUGGCAUCAGGAGCCUGGUCACAGGCCCCAUGCUGCAGAAUGCAGAGCCCUUCUGUGGGAUAUUGCUGGAGCUUUUGGGAAAGAGAUCAUUUCUGAUGCCAUCUACAACUUGAUGCAUGCAAAGGACUGCGCGAUAGAUGCUGCCAAAGGCCCCAUCUCUCAUGUCCUGGAAACAGACAAGCAUAAUUUGGAGGUAAUCUGUGCUCAGGACAAUAACAGGCCCGACAAAAGGAUUACUCUGAGAGCAGAGAGCUUGUCAACUGGUUAUCCUGAGAGUGGUGCUGAAGGGCCGGGAAAAGACACCAGCGAGACAGUCCGUGCCGGGAAGGCGGCCUGCGAUGCAGCGUUUGGAAGAGACCAACCCAUCUGGGAAAGCAACGGGCCGAGUCCACCUCCACGUUCCUCGCCCAACCUUCCCAGGCCUGGCUUAAGCGCAGGUGGAAGAAGCACGCUGCCGAUUUGCACGGAGGCUUGGAAGCGGCCGCCGCUGCUGUUUGAGCAAGGCAGCGAUCACAGCCCUCCUUGCAGCCACACUCAGAAGAGGCCUGCAGAGACAGUAAGAGGACGGCCCAGCAAAGAGAUGGGCACCUCCCUCCUCACCUGGGACCGGGAAGCCAUCCUGAGCAGCAUGACAGAAGGGCGCCUGAACCACCUCCUGGACGUCCUGCGCGCCCAGCGGCUCCUGUCCCGGACGGACUAUGAGAUGAUCACGUCGUUUCCCACGCUGACUGGCCGGGCCCGCGCCAUGCUGGACACCUGCCUCCGCCUUGGGGAGACGGCUGCCCAGACCGUGGUGGCGGUGCUGUCCGCCAGCAAGGGCGGCCCUUGGCAGCAGAGCAUCCGGGCGAAUGCAGUGCAUUAAAUCCGUCCCCUUGCGGGGGUCCCCCCUGCUGCAGAAAAGGUCUCUGCGGACGGGUGAUUCGUGGUGGCAUCGGUCCCUUCCGCCUUCGUCGCCCUCUGCCAUGGAUGAAGCUGUUGCGCUACUUCUGUUCAGAGACGUUUAUCCUGUUAAAGAAAAGAGAGGAGCUGGUGGAAGAGAUCAUGGGUCCACAGUGAUCUCAGCAGCAUCGUUUUAAUGUCAACCAUCUGCCACUUGGAUGUUUAUAAGAUGCUGGAAUUAGGCUAUGGCUGGCCAAGUCUCGGCCCUUCACCUCUUUAUUGAAGGAAUGAGCCCAAGUUUUCACACUGUGCAGCAGGGAACAGCAGAGACAUGGCCAGUGAGGAGGAGGAGGCAUCGAGAGGCGGCCCUGCCCCAGGGAGGCCGGGCCUGAAGGCUGCCGGCUGAGCUGAAUUGAAGGCAAACAGGGCCGAAGCAUCAGCUUUCAAGCAGGCUGUGCUCCAUGGCUCAGUCUCUUGAACAAGCUGUUGUAUUUUAUUUCAUCGUGUUGUCUGCCUCAUGUACAACUCAGAGGGCCUGGACAAAGUGCCUUUGGGCAGCCCAAGAGAAGACUUUUGACCCUCUGCAGCCAGCUGUGUCCGCUGAAAUUAGCAGUGGUUGGCCCCGUGGCUGUACGCAGUGGCGGGAGGAAGGAGGGGAGGGCGCAUACAUCGGCCUGUGAGCUGCGCAACGCCGCUUUGGCCCUCCUUUGGGAGUCCCAUCUGAGCUGCUCUGAGUUCCUUGGAGGAAGAGGAAAAGAUAACAUUAAUGUAUAUGACUCUGUAAACAAUGUUAUCCAUCUACCCACCCAAAUGAACUUCUCCUAGGUCGGAGCAGUAGGGAGUGGCAUGACUGUUGUCCCGGGAGAGAGCAUCCUUCCCGAAGCAAUUUGAAGAUUAUAUAAAAUGCAGAGACACGUCGAACCACUGGCAUUCAGAGGGCAAGGAAGGAGGAGACAUGGAUAUUUCCACUCCCAUCAAUCAACAGUCCGUAAGGUUCCACAAGACAUGUCUUGUUCUUGCUAUAAUAAGCUCACAGGACACCCUUCUGCAAAGAUUCCCUAAUUGGGUCAUGUAGGGAAACAAUAGCAGAGACAGCCAGCAGUACCCUUUAAAUGCAAACUUUAUUGUCUACACAGAGAGAGAAAAAGAAAAUCAACGUUGCUCAAAGCAAACAUUUUCUUAUGCCUCUACUUCCUUGCACCUCUGUUCUCGAAGCUCCUUUUAAAUCACCACCCCAAUUGUGACCAUCCUGCAGAGUGAAUUUUGCAUUUCUCCAUCAAAAUGCUUGCUGUUUUUGCAUGCACUCUCCGAUUCAUUGGGUGUGCUCACACUGCGCCACAGUGAUUGGGUUGCUGUGUGAACAACCCAUGGUGAGCCCAACAGACAAUCAGGGUCGCCUUGAACGUUCCCUGCCUCUAGCAGUUUGUUUAUUAGUUAUUUUUUUGUCCGGCUUUCUCCCAUUGUGGAGAGAACUUAAGGGGGCCGUUCCCAGGGGGUCUGCCCUCCAAGCUGAGGCCAGCACCAGGCCUGCUUGGCUUCAGCAUGGGUGCCUUCAGACCAUACUUGGUUAUCCCAAGUGCAGAAAGACCAGGUUGUCCCCACCCUCCCUGCCACAAUCGGGAGUCAUUUGAGGCUUGCUGGCUAUCACAAUCCCCAAUUUGACAACUACCAACCGGCCCUUCAGUGGCCCUGCAUUGGGUCUUCAUAUUGUGCAAACCUGGUUGAUGGUAUUAAUGAAGUAAGAACUUGCAUUCCACCCUUCCUUCAAAUAAAUCAUGCUGAUGUGAGGAUAAGAGGAGGAAAUAGCAUGUCCUGUUGAGUUGGGUUAUUCUAAAGAUGGUGACUGGCUGAAGGGCGCUUGGUAAACAGGGAUCCAAACCUGGUGUCCUAGCUCCUCUUCUGGCCUUCUGCAGCACAGUGCCUAGGAAGAGUUCUUCUGCCCAUCCUGGCUGAGAAUUCCCCAAUUCGCCCCCUAAGUGAGCUUCCUGCAUGACUUUGUUUAUGAUUCACUGCAUUUUUUCAUUUACAUGGGAGCCAUCUUGGAAAAUGGCAGCUCUAGAAUUCAGCUUCAGAUGGCUCCUAUUGUAUUAAUGAUGUAAUUAAAUAAUAAUAAUAGUCAACAUGUGCAUUUCUGGAUAUUUAUUUGCAUGUGCACAUUGGUGUCCUGUGUCAUCCUCCUUUUUGAUGAUGCAGGUCCUCGUUUUUUAGAAGAGGUCAUGCUAAAUAAUGAAUGUG